UUUUUUGUUUUUUUUUUUUUUUCUGUCUGUCGCUCAGACUGGAGUGCAGUGGCGCGAUCUUAGCUCACUGCAGCCUUGACCUCCCAGGCUCAGGUGAUCCUCCCACUUCAGCGUCUGGAGUAGCUGGGACCACAGGAGCCUGCCACUACACCAGACUAAUUUUUGUAUUUUUAGUAGAUAGGGUCUCAUCAUGUUGCCCGGGAUGAUGGAACUACAGUAUUUUUUUAAUAAAACAUUUUAAUUGUUUUAUAAAUAGAGACGGGGUCUUGCCAUGUUGCCUAGGCUGGUCUCAAACUCCUGGGCUGAAGCCAUCCUCCCACCUUGGCCUCCCAAAGUGCUGGGAUUACAGGAGUGAGCCACCCUGCCCAGCCUAAACGUUUUAGAGUUUUAGAUUCCCACAAAAUGUGCAGAUAGUUCAGAACUCCCGUGUGCCACAUCCCAGGCCCCCUGUUCCCGGCAUCCAGGCCAGUGGGAUACAUUUGUCUCAAUCAAUGAACAAAUACUGAUGCAUCACUGUUAAGUGGAGUCCACACUUGAUUCCGGUUUACUCAGUUUCCCCCAGUUUCCUGCUCAGGGCCCCACCCGGGAUCCCACAUGGCAUUGAGGCGUUGCGUCUCCUUGGGUCUCUCCGGGCUGUUGCAGUUUCCCAGACGUUCCUGUUUCUGACCCCCGCACGCUCCCGGGGAAGGAGAUCACGUUCCCGUUUCUGACCCCUGCACGCUCCCGGGGAAGGAGGUCACGUUCCCGUUUCCGACCCCCUGCACGCUCCCGGGGAAGGAGGUCACGUUCCCGUUUCUGACCCCCUGCGCGCGCUCCCGGGGAAGGAGGUCACGUUCCCGUUUCUGACCCCCUGCACGCUCCCGGGGAAGGAGGUCACGUUCCCGUUUCUGACACCUGCACGCUCCCGGGGAAGGUCACAUUCCUGUUUCUGACCCCCUGCGCGCUCCCGGGGAAGGAGGUCACGUUCCCGUUUCUGACCCCUGCACGCUCCCGGGGAAGGUCACGUUCCUGUUUCUGAUCCCUGCACGCUCCCGGGAAAGGAGGUCACGUUCCCGUUUCUGACCCCUGCACGCUCCCGGGGAAGGAGGUCACGUUCCCGUUUCUGACCCCCCUGCGCGCUCCCGGGGAAGGAGGUCACGUUCCCGUUUCUGACCCCUGCGCGCUCCCGGGGAAGGAGGUCACGUUCCCGUUUCUGACCCCUGCGCGCUCCUGCGGAAGGAGGUCACGUUCCUGUUUCUGACUCCUGCACGCUCCUGCAGAAGGAGGUCACGUUCCCGUUUCUGACCCCUGCACGCUCCUGCGGAAGGAGGUCACGUUCCUGUUUCUGACCCCUGCACGCUCCUGCGGAAGGAGGUCACGUUCCCGUUUCUGACCCCCUGCGCGCUCCCGGGGAAGGAGGUCACGUUCCCGUUUCUGACCCCUGCGCGCUCCCGGGGAAGGAGGUCACGUUCCCGUUUCUGACCCCUGCACGCUCCUGCGGAAGGAGGUCACGUUCCUGUUUCUGACCCCUGCACGCUCCUGCAGAAGGAGGUCACGUUCCCGUUUCUGACCCCUGCACGCUCCCGGGGAAGGAGGUCACGUUCCCGUUUCUGACCCCUGCACGCUCCUACGGAAGGAGGUCACGCUCCCGGGGAAGGAGGUCACGUUCCCGUUUCUGACCCCUGCACGCUCCUGCAGAAGGUCACGUUCCUGCGGAAGGAGGUCACGCUCCCGGG
ensembl:lncRNA